rnacentral:rRNA from 1 species
GACGAACGCUGGCGGCGUGCCUAAUACAUGCAAGUCGACCUUAGUGGCGAACGGGUGAUUAACACGUGGGUAACCUGCCCAUCAGAAGGGGAUAACACUUGGAAACAGGUGCUCAUCCCGUAUACCUAUGGAUUGACCCCCGGUUCAUUGGCUAGUUGGUGAGGGAACGGCUAACCAAGGCCACGAUGCAUUGACGACCUGAGGGCGUGAGCGGGCACAUGGGGACGUAGACACGGCCCAAUCUCCUACGGGAGGCAGCAGUAGGGAAUCUUCGGCAAUGGACGAAAGUCUGACCGAGCAACGCCGCGUGAGUGAAGAAGGUUUUCAGAUCGUAAAACUCUGUGGUUAUAGAAGCGGGAAAUAAAGAGAAAGCCACGGCUAACUACGUGCCAGCAGCAGCGGUAAGAG